ACAUGGAGAGAAGCAUGGCUGGUAGAAAGAGAAUCCUGUGUGAUUCCUGAUGGUAUGAGAGAUGCGGCCUUUCUCCAGUGAUGGUUUUCCCAUUAUUUCAUUGCUGAUCCUCCCAUUAAAAUCCCCUCUUUUGUUCAAACCAGUUCAAGAGGGGCUUCUUUCACUAGUGAGUUAAAUAGACUAAUUAAUAAAGCUUCUUUUCUCUCUCCCAGAUGUUAGCAUUCCCUGUGUCUCUUUCUUCUCUUACCUUUCUUUCCCUUCCGCCAAGGAACUGGAAUCCAAUCCUGCCACUCCAAAUGCCCCUGGUGCCUCAGAGCAAGCUGUGCAGUCAGACACAGCUGGGCUUACUUCGGGUUCUGUUACCAGCAAUGACAUGCUACCAAAUUACCAUCUCAAAGCUUCAUUCAUAUUAUUUCAAAGAGAAGAGUCAUGGCAAUAUCAAUCUCAUGUGGUUCUAAGAAAUAAAUAAGCUGGUAUGUAUAGAGCAUUUAAUAGGAUACUUGACACAUAGUAAACACCUAUGAAAUAUACUGAUGAUCGUCACACCGGCAAAUAUAUCACUAUAAUUUCUGAACCACAGAACAAACAUCCUUUGCUAAUGCCAAUUUCUGUCCUGCAUUCUAAGCCUACAUUUCUUAUGUCUUUCUAAACCUUUCCACUAAUAUUUACCAAUUUCAUCUGGAACUAAACAGAUUUACACUCAUCUUUCUAUCAGUCCUCUGCCACCAACACCGCAAUUAACAUGUGCAACCUAGUUAGUGACACUGCUGUACUCUCAGUCACCCAGGCUUGGACCAUGGGCUACUACUGGUUGUGUUAACUACACUGUCACAGGUAUGUAUAAUUUAUUCCUAACUAAACAAAAACAAAACCACAGAGAUUAGGAAUUGCAGUUAUUUGUGUUCUCUUGCAUUUAUUUAGCUAGGCAAUAGUUUUUAAAGGAAAUUGGAGACUGUAACCUUGAAUCUAUUGUGCGAGGCACAGGUGGUGGUUUAAAAACCAAACAAGAUAGCUUUCUCUGGUCAUAAAGGACUUGUCUUCUCUGUGAAGAGCUAUGGCAUGUGAGCAGACUACUUUAUAUUUAUCAUAUUUUCCAGGCAUUAGAAAAAAUGCAAGGAGUUUAUAGAUUUCAGAAUUAAAGAUCACUCCUAUCCUAAGUACACUUCCCUUUAGAGAGUGUAACACUUGAGAAUCCUACACACUAUAAACACAAAACAAAUUCAUAAACUAAUAAUGGAUGCCUUGUCAUGUGGGAUCCAGCAGGCAGUGCUGAUCCAGCCCAACCUGUGAUUUUAAACACUGGCUCUCAUGUCAAACCUCUUUCAGGUCCCACAUAAUCAAUUCUUUAAAUCUCUUGCUGUUUGUCCCCAAAACGAGAGAUGAUUGCAUCUGCAUGACAUGGGGUGGCAUGAAGUCACCUGCUGCUGACUUCAGAAAUUAGAUGGCAUCAUUAUAUGGGAAAGACCUGAGCAACAGAAUCAGUUAGGUAAGAGAAAACCUGAAGUAAAUUAAUUAAUUUGUCACGCCCUCCUUCUCAGCAUGGAUGCAACAGAUUCCUGCACAAUGAAGGAUCUUUCCCUGAGUGCUGCUGAGCAAUCGAUUUCUUUUCCACAUGUUCGAGCAUGGUGUCUGGAUAUAUUUUUACUUUAGUAAGUCAGCAUGUUUACAAUAGGUAGAUAUGGAAGCUAAGGAAGUUUACAAUAUUAAACAUUUCAAAUCUUUCUUAAAUUUUAGUAUAUGCAAGUCUAGAAAUAAUAGGCAUGAUCUAUGGUAUUGAUUGUUUAAAUUACCUUAUGGAUUUAGAUAUUGCUUUAAAAAGUGAUAAAAUCAGCAUAAUAUUGGUAGCACUUUAUUGAAAGAAGCUAAAAUACUUAAAACAUUUUCUGUGGUGGUGUUAUUUUUAUCAUAAAUCUCCCUAUCAAAAUGGCUAAACAUCAUGUGUAAAAUGCAUGGCAAUUUAGAAUAAAAUACUGCUUUAAGAAUCUUACUGACAGUUCCAGCUAUGAUAGCCUUGAUAAAAUUCUCCAAAUUAAAAUUACAAAACCUCCAAAUUAAAAUUACAAAAAUAAUCUCCAAAUUAAAA